UUAGGGUUAGGGUUAGGGUUGGAGUUAGGGUUAGUGUUGGAGCUAGGGUUAGGGUUGGGCUUGGAGCUAGGAUUUUUCUGAGUGCACUGAACCAACUCCCGAGUCUCUAGGACAUUCCUAAAAAAAAUUUGAUUUUUUCCCAUAGGAAUGCAUGGGUUAGGGUUAGGGUUAGGGUUGGAGCUAGGGUUAGGGUUAGGGUUAGGGUUGGAGUUAGGGUUAGUGUUGGAGCUAGGGUUAGGGUUGGGCUUGGAGCUAGGAUUUUUCUGAGUGCACUGAACCAACUCCCGAGUCUCUAGGACAUUCCUAAAAAAAUUUGAUUUUUUCCCAUAGGAAUGCAUGGGUUAGGGUUAGGGUUAGGGUUG
rnacentral:lncRNA from 1 species